GACGAACGCUGGCGGCGUGCCUAAUACAUGCAAGUAGAACGCAGUUACGAACGGGUGAGUAACGCGUAGGUAACGGCCUCAGAGCGGGGGGUAACGAUAGGAAACGAUAGCUAAUACCGCAUACUUUGAGAUGGACCUGUGUUGUGUGGGCUAGUGGGUGAGGUAAAGGCUCACCAAGGCGACGAUACAGAGCCGACCUGGGAGGGUGAGUCGCAACACUGGUACUGAGAACAGGCCCCGACUUCUACGGGGUGCAGCAGUAGGGAAUCUUCGGAAAUGGACCGAAGUCUGACCCAGCAACGCCCGGUGAGUGAAGAAGGUUCUCGGAUUUUAAAACUAUGUUGUUAGAGAAGCGUUAACUAACCAGAAAGGGCCGGCUAACUACGUGCCAGCAGCCGCGGUAAUUC
rnacentral:rRNA from 1 species